GAUGGCCGAUGAUGAUAGAACACAAUUUCUGCUUUAAGUUUCAGUUCUAUGAUGAAUGUUUCGUUAAACAUUUCCUAUAGCCGUAUGAAAAUUGUUUGGUUUUUGUCUGAGGAAGAUGAAGCCUAAGAGGUUUGAUACAUAACCCGUGCGGAAUCAGUUGCGGGAUGAUUUCCUGUUCGGAUGUGACUGAGGGGAAUGAAAGGCAGAAGCCAUCAUGCCGCAGGGUUAAAGAAUCAGACAUGUUAUGUUUACUUCGGAAAGUUGCUUUGUAUGACUUGAUCUGAUUGUCUGAAAGAUUUUUUGUGUAACGGGUGAUCGGUUUAAUGAAGGUAGUAAAUCGGUGCUAUGUAUGGUCAUGUCAAAGUAGUUUUGUUUCCCCAGUUCUUACGAGAAACGUUUAUGCUUUGA
rnacentral:lncRNA from 1 species